AUGCACGCUGGCGGCGUGCCUAAUACAUUCCAGUCGAGCGAACGGACGAGAAGCUUGCUUCUCUGAUGUUAGCGGCGGACGGGUGAGUAACACGUGGAUAACCUACCUAUAAGACUGGGAUAACUUCGGGAAACCGGAGCUAAUACCGGAUAAUAUUUUGAACCGCAUGGUUCAAAAGUGAAAGACGGUCUUGCUGUCACUUAUAGAUGGAUCCGCGCUGCAUUAGCUAGUUGGUAAGGUAACGGCUUACCAAGGCAACGAUGCAUAGCCGACCUGAGAGGGUGAUCGGCCACACUGGAACUGAGACACGGUCCAGACUCCUACGGGAGGCAGCAGUAGGGAAUCUUCCGCAAUGGGCGAAAGCCUGACGGAGCAACGCCGCGUGAGUGAUGAAGGUCUUCGGAUCGUAAAACUCUGUUAUUAGGGAAGAACAUAUGUGUAAGUAACUGUGCACAUCUUGACGGUACCUAAUCAGAAAGCCACGGCUAACUACGUG
rnacentral:rRNA from 1 species